rnacentral:misc_RNA from 1 species
GAUGAAGAACGUAGCGAAAUGCGAUAAGUAAUGUGAAUUGCAGAAUUCAGUGAAUCAUCGAAUCUUUGAACGCACAUUGCGCCCGCCAGUAUUCUGGCGGGCAUGCCUGUUCGAGCGUCAUUUCAACCAUCAAGCCCCCGGCUUGUGUUGGGGACCUGCGGCUGCCGCAGGCCCUGAAAACCAGUGGCGGGCUCGCUAGUCACUCCGAGCGUAGUAAUACAUCUCGCUCAGGGCGUGGUGCGGGUUCCGGCCGUUAAAAAGCCUUAUUUACCCAAGGUUGACCUCGGAUCAGGUAGGAAGACCCGCUGAACUUAAGCAUAUCAAUAAGCGGAGGA